CUUAAUUUCUUAAAUUUUUAAUUUUAACUACUACCAUCAUUCUAUUAAUUAUUAUUUAAAUAAUCAAAAUUUCAUACUAAAAUUUGUAUGUAAAAUAAACUUAAAAUAAAUUUUUUAAAACAUAAUUAUUUUAUU
rnacentral:rRNA from 1 species